AUUGAACGCUGGCGGCAGGCCUAACACAUGCAAGUCGAGCGGUAGAGAGGUGCUUGCACCUCUUGAGAGCGGCGGACGGGUGAGUAAUGCCUAGGAAUCUGCCUGGUAGUGGGGGAUAACGCUCGGAAACGGACGCUAAUACCGCAUACGUCCUACGGGAGAAAGCAGGGGACCUUCGGGCCUUGCGCUAUCAGACGAGCCUAGGUCGGAUUAGCUAGUUGGUGAGGUAAUGGCUCACCAAGGCGACGAUCCGUAACUGGUCUGAGAGGAUGAUCAGUCACACUGGAACUGAGACACGGUCCAGACUCCUACGGGAGGCAGCAGUGGGGAGUAUUGGACAAUGGGCGAAAGCCUGAUCCAGCCAUGCCGCGUGUGUGAAGAAGGUCUUCGGAUUGUAAAGCACUUUAAGUUGGGAGGAAGGGUCGUUACCUAAUACGUGACGAUUUUGACGUUACCGACAGAAUAAGCACCGGCUAACUCUGUGCCAGCAGCCGCCGUAA
rnacentral:rRNA from 1 species